rnacentral:lncRNA from 1 species
CUGACGCAUGGUUAAAAAGACAGGUCCAUUAACAUCGCAAUUCUCUCAGGCAGUACAGCGUUUUAAAUCUGGAACACGACUUGAGAGGAUAUAUUUUUUUAUUUAGGGAGUUGCGCAAAUUUAUGCCAAAGUUGCUCUAAACAGGUAUUAUGUAGAACUCUUCUGGUUGGUAGGUAUUCCAGCGAUAUGAUCUUUUACUUGCUUCAGUUCUUUCCUUCUGUUUUAUUUCUGAAAUCAACUUGUUGGUGGUGUGGCGCGUUGUUCAGGGUUGUGAAGUUUAUGAGAGCGAGGACAUGCGAGAGGCCUGGUUCUGCAUGAGAGAAGCUAUGGCUAAGUCUGAUGACAAAUCUAUCUCGAACCCAUCUGCGAGGGUGUUUUUCGUGGAGUUCGUGACAAGCAUCCAAACCAUCGCGCCCGCUGCCGCACCCUGUUUCGCCGCCGAAUCAUAGACAGCAUUGAACAUGGAUCUCAUGGCGUCUAUCCGCACGGUUUCCUUGUACCCCGACGUCCUGCUGGAUUUGCCGAACUCUGCAAACAGCACCGGUUUCUGCAACGUGGUUUCGCUGUCGUUGAUGUGAGUUUGUAUCCAUUUGACCAUGAAUUUCCGCUUCUCGGCCUCAGUUAGUGAAGGAGUCCUGCACCCCAAUCUUUUCCCUCAAUUACUUGCACUGUUUUGAAGAAUGCAUGAGGUCGCUGAACGUGAUGAAGCGAUGAUAAGGGUGGUGCGUACCAGUUGUCCGGGUAAGAGUGGACACUUGCGAAAUCCAGCGCCGAGAUUUGCUGGUUUCGAAUGAAGUCGACACCGUAUUGAGUCGCGAAGGUGCCAGG